rnacentral:rRNA from 1 species
AGAGUUUGAUCAUGGCUCAGGAUGAACGCUAGCUACAGGCUUAACACAUGCAAGUCGAGGGGAAACGACAUCGAAAGCUUGCUUUUGAUGGGCGUCGACCGGCGCACGGGUGAGUAACGCGUAUCCAACCUGCUCAUCACUUGGGGAUAACCUUGCGAAAGUAAGACUAAUACCCAAUGACGUCUCUAGAAGACAUCUGAAAGAGAUUAAAGAUUUAUCGGUGAUGGAUGGGGAUGCGUCUGAUUAGGCUUGUUGGCGGGGUAACGGCCACAAGGCGACGAUCAGUAGGGGUUCUGAGAGGAAGGUCCCCCANAUUGGAACUGAGACACGGGUCCAAAUCCUACGGGAGGCCA